rnacentral:rRNA from 1 species
GAGACCUCAGCCUGCUAACUAGCUAUGCGGAGCCAUCCCUCCGCAGCUAGCUUCUUAGAGGGACUAUCGCCGUUUAGGCGACGGAAGUUUGAG